CCGCAACUCGACUGUUAUAAAUCAAAGAUAUAUCGAGAUCUUUCGAGAUCGGAUCGUGUCGUUGAUCCGUUGAACCGUGGCACGCUGAUUCGAAACAUUUUAAAUCCUAUCGUGUACCAAUCAACAGUAAUGAAAUUCCAAUAUAAAGAAAAAGAAACUAAAAAUAUCAUCGAAAAAGGACAAGAGAGAGGAAAUAUACACAUAUUACAAAUUCUACAAUUUUUUGUAUAAAAAUAAAAAUAGAUUCAACAGGAAAAAGAAAAAAAAAGGAAAUUCUCUGGACUAAAAUUUCGAUCGUGGAACGCAUGUAUUCCAAAACAAAGUUGUCGAGAGCGCGAACAAUCGAUUUUGUCUGUCAAAUCAGCUUCCGCGGUCAACGGUUCAAUGCGAUCCAAUAUUCUCACUUCGCUGCCAAUACAAUCCGCAACUCCAUUCGAGCCGGCCUUUACCGGCCGCGAUAGUUCGCGCAAGAGGAGUUAAUGCCACUGGUUGAAUCCAAAAGCGAUACAAAUUGAUUUUACAAACGGAACAAUGCACGCGGCAUCGCGUGUAUGCAGCGAACCCAGAUGUCGCCAGCGUCAGUUUCUCGAUCAUGCUUACAGGUUAGCUGUCGCAUCGUAUUGGCAACGACGCGGGAACAUUUUCUUUCAGUCACAUUCACUUUCUUGCAAUUUGCAUGGUAUUUUGUUCAUGGUUGCAUUCUUUUAAGAGGUUUUGUUCAUUUCUUCUUUUUUUGCUUGACUGUGGGUAGUUGUUCUUUUUUUUUUUAAAGAGUAUCGAGCAGAUUGUCAAUUCGGGAGCAAAAAAGAACACGAUCGUCCUGAGGCAGGAUAAUAAUAAUAAUAAUAAUAAAUAAAGGGCGGGUAGUAAACUUUCGUGAGAGUAGAACUGCAUGCAUAUAUAAUCAUGUAUAAAUAGAUAUGUAAUAAAGGCAAUGAAAAUAUGUACGUAAUAAGUUUCAGGGCUGGAUUAUCUGCGAUAUAUAAAAGUUGGAGUAUGUUGAAGCUGAAUAUUUUAAGCGAUUUGUGUAAUAGUGCUGAAUAUAAUGAGAUCGAUAUAGGUAGGUAAGAUAAUAAUAAUAAUGAUGAUAAUAAUAAUAAUAUAUAGAGAAUAUGCUGUGAAUCGGGUACAUACGUACGCAGCUUGUUAUGGGGCGCUGUGUAAUGAGCAACGACAUUUGUGAACGAAGAUAUUAUAUACGGUGAUUCUUAAUUACCCAUCUCUAUAUGUUUGUGAGACACUGAUUUAAGUAAAAAAUGGAACUGAAAGAAAUUAUAAUAUUAAUAAUUAUUUAUAAUUACUUUAUGUAUAAAAAUUAUGCAGAUUAUAUUUAAAGUGCAAACUGUACAGUCGGAAGCUGCGACUGAUUAAAACAUUUUGCGCCAUGUUUGGGGUAUCAUAUUGUUGGAGAAUUGUACAAAAAGUUGUUUAAUCGGAGAAUGCUGUAUGAAAAUUCAACAAUACCUAUAAAUCACAAACAGGUUGGUAUCAGUGAUUAGAUAUUUUCCACAAAUGCCUCCCGCAUUUGUAGAAUAUGGAGAAAGUAAUCUAUAUUCGCAAAUAAAAAACAUCUUAGAAUACUGAGAAAGUCGAUAACUUUUCAUUCUUGAGACUUAAUAAUGUAUAAAGAAAUCAAUUAGAAUAGAACGUAUUUUUCUUUAAAAAAAUAAUUAUAAUUACGAUAGAGUUGUUCUCACAUAAAGAAACUCGAAUUUAAAAUAUUUAUUGUAAGUUAUCCUGUUUAGUUCAUUAGAGUUCAUGAAACGUGAAAACACCUUUAAUUUACAUAGAAUGAGUCUACGGGGGUGUCGAGAUAUUUACAUCUACAUUUGCCGAAUUUAUAAUCAAGAAAAUAGUUCUAAUAAAUAAUAUUAAAACAAUAAUUUAGUUUUACUUUUAUAAACAGAUUAAACAUCUUAUAUUUGAACAUUCACCAUGAAAUAUUGUUCUAAUAAAAAAUAAUGAAGUUCUCUUAACAUUCACAGUGCCCCUUCAAACUCAUCUACUGGAAUAUAUUUUCCAAAUUAUUCUCGCGUAAUGAAGAAUCAUCUUUCCUUUGUCAAUUUUAGCAAAAUAUGAAAAUAUGAUAGAACACGUACAACAAGCUGCAUAGAUGCAUUCGAUAUAUGUAUAAAUAUAUAUAUAUAUUCAUUGGUCCCUAAGGGAUUGCGUAUGGGGGCAUGAUUCGUUCUUGGAGGAUCCACACAUUCCCCCGUGAAUCGAAAGUCAGACGAUAUCUAAUUCGUCCAAGGGACAAAUGAUCGCAUCAUCGUCCCGGAAAGUGAGCAAUGCCGUGCACUUCCGGCUGCGCGCACCGUGCCACCAUUCUCGUUCCAUCGGCGACUUGGGGAUCAAACAUUACCGGGGUUCUGAUCCUCCAAGUACGAGCAUAGCAAGGUGGCAGGCACAGUUGUUACUACUGGUAAAAAAAUAAAUAAGAAUAGAAAAUCCACAAACCAGAGUGAACGGUAUAUAAAAAGGAAACGCAAAUCAGUUUAACUCAAUUUGAAAAAAACGUAACGGAAAGAAGAGAGAAACGGAUAUAUAUAUAUAUAUGUACAUGAUAUAUCUUGUAUAUAUAUAUAUGUAGAUCAAUUUCAAGACACACCGACAUCUGGCGGCGGAUACUGAACCUAGAUGUGUGCAAGACUGAAUAAUGGAAACGUAGAAAAAGAAAGAAAAAUAGUAAAGAAAGAAAAAUCAAAGAAUGACGGUAUCUCGAUAGAGAGAUCGCGCGAUACACCGACGCAAUGCCGAAUUCUAUCUCUCUUUGCUUGGAAAUUUUCCCUCCAUCUCGGUCAGCGAUACGACGGUUAUCUAAGUUAUCUUUCAUCGCGCCAUAUUUCUUUUCCUCCCGCGCGCGCUCACUUUCAAACGUAUCAAUGACUUUCCUCUUUUCUGCCUGCUCUUUUUUCUUCUUUCUCGUUUUGAAAACUUUUCUGUGGUUCAGAUACUCGUCCGUUUCUCAUUCUCGAAUAAAAUAACAUGUUCUCAAACGAUUUCAAAUGAUCUCUUGAUUCUUGUUCUUUUCAAAACGUUCGUAUAAAAUUGAAACACUCGAACCGCGAGGUUAUGCGAUAUUAAUUGAAGGAAAUUUUUUGCUGUCUUCUAAUUUAUAAGAAAUUAUUUCCGGUUUUUGACGUGAACCACGGACGGAUACGGACGAAUCGAUUUUCUCCAAAAGAGGGUUUCUGUCGUGUUUUGGUAUGAGAUAUAACUUUCGGUGGGUAGAUAGCACGGAUCGGUUAAAGACAGACACAGGGCUUUUGGUGUAACGGGGUUAUUGGCACAUUGUAGACAGGUGAUAACAGACGUAGACAAGGGACAAGAGAGGGAAUGGUCGUUCGGGUCCUUCGUAUCAUAUCCUGUAUCAUAAAGCUGUGUGUUGAACGGUUCCGAUUUCGUAAUUAUUGCCGAUCCGUCGAUUCGGAACAAUACAACGUGAUGUGAACACGUUUUCUCAUUCUCGUUUUCAUCGUUUAUAUAUAUGUAUAUUUUAUUUGAUUUUGUACCACGAUUUUGUAUCUCCUCUACUGCAUAUGUAUGUAUAUAUAUAUAUGUUGAUAAUGAUGAUGUAUAAUAUUUUAUAUCAUCAAUUUAUCUCGACAAACGACGGAAAGGAACAAUUGAACAAAAAAUUGGAACGCAAGAAUAUAUAUGUCUUUGACGCAAGAGGCGCGCAAUAAAGUUAGCGUUCGUGUAUAAGAUGCUAGGGGACAAAAAGUCACUAGAAACAAAUUCGACAAGGGGUUAUGAAAUACACAACGUACAUAAAAAAGUGCAAGCCUGGCAACACAAAAAACAACACAAGACCAGACAGGAUAUAUAUCGUUACGUAAAAAAUUACACGAUUGUCAAACAUACUAUUACUUGGUUUGUAGCCGGUUACGGUAUAUAUCAGGGCGAUCAUAGUAAUAGUAGCUAAGAACUCAGCGCUAAACAGGACAAGAUGACAAUACAUAAACAGAACAACAGAGAAGGAACGAAACAGAAUAAAGAGAGAAGUAGAGAGAAGGGCGGACAACGGCAGGAUUAUAGACAACGAUCAUCCGACGACAUAUCACAGAUAACACAGAGACACUUCGAUACGAUUAUACUUUCAAUGUAGGUGUGAAGAGAGUGCUCGACCCUUUGGCUGUGGCGAUACGUUCACGCGAUUUCGAUUGAUUUUAAAUUUUCCCCGUUUGAAGGCUAUCGGUAAAGUAGAUUCGUUUUGUUAUCGACCCGUCAAAGUCCCUAGAUUAAAGGCGAAACAAAUGCGAUUUAGGUUUCGAAUUUUGGUAUCGUUACAGGGCUACAACUCAACUGCUAAACGAAUCAGCGUAAAUUUUGUUCGAUUAUCAAAUACUCGAAUUCCCUGUGUCGUACAAAAGUGAUAUUAACGAAGCUGGACCAUCGAACCUCGUCGAAAUUUGUUUUUCACGCGAACAGUAAGCGGCAGCCGUCGAGUCGGAGAUGACAGAAACAAAUACGCAGGUAGACAGGUAAAAAGGUAGCGACGGAACUAAAAAAUGACAGAGCGACAGAAUGGAAAGAAGAGAGGAAAACGAUAGACAGGCGAUUAAAAACGGAGUAUAGAGGGUUUGAAAGGGCGGAGAGACGAGUCAAAUAAGCGAGGUAUGAUCAAACACUGGCAAACAUAAUUGGUAACGUAACUGAAUCGAUAACAGGCUGAACCAGGGUCGAUAGAAUAGAAGAAAUAUAAAGAGCGUUGAAAAAGACCAACUGGGAAUAUAUAUAGAAUAGUAUAGAGACAAAAACAAUAACUGAAACGGAGAAAGAGAGAAAAAGAGAGACGUGAUACGCAGGCUAAGGGUAUGAACAUACGUAUACAUAUAUAGAUAGAUUACAUAUAAUGGGACAUACGAAAAAACAUGUAAGAUGAAUGUUACGAGCGAAACGAGCAAAUAGAAGGUAACUUUUUCUUGCUUUUUUUCUUUCAUUAAAAAAAAAUUCUGUUUUUUUUUUCUUUUGGAUUAAUGAACGAUUAGCGAGAGAGCUUGAGCUGCAACUUACCGCGGUGUAAAGGAACUCCAGAACGUACUACGUGUGGGAAAAAACCAACGAGAAGAAAGGGCGUUACCACGGUCACAGAACCCGCGUUUGCGGGCAAAAAAACGGACGCGCGUACGCAGCAUUGCGCGAGCAAUCGUCUAUUUCGCAUAAUCAUACCUUAUUGACUUUAUUCCCUUUCUUUUGCAUCGUUUUUCAUUUAUGUAUUUCAAAUUUUCGCGCCAUCGCGGCAUAACCGUUUCGAUAUAGCGAACCUCGAUUCCCUCUCUACGAUUGUUUCGAUCGGAGGUUAACUUCCGAAGGUUCAUCCCCACUACACGACUCUAGACAUCUCCCCCACCCCAUUGCACGUUCGCGCCAAGUUUGAUCGUGUACGCGCGAAUCUCGCGGCGAAAAUCGAAUGCUCUAUCGCAAUGUUCCGCACGCCGUUACAGAAACAAUAGACGUAGACACACACUAAUCAAGCGUACCCAUCACACACGCGAUCUUCGCCAGUCACGCAACAUGAACGCAGUCACUCACAGACUCAUCCAACAUAGAGUGGUAAUACACGUGACAGACACAAGUUGGAAACUACGCACACACAUCUGUAUAUAUACGACGAUUAUACACGUGUAUAUAAUAUAUAUAUAUAUGCAGAGUAAAGAGAGAAAGAGAUGGAGAGCUCCAGCGCGUCUUCGCGUGAUCGAUGCAUUUGGAACGGGUACUGCACACGCGUUAACGAGACAUGGCCGUCGUCGUUUCGUUUGGAAUCCAACAUCGACGUCGAUUCGAGAUUCGUCCCGUAUCGAGGGAGUCACGAGUAACGGGUGUCGCACGAAGGAUCCUCUUAUCGCGUCGCUCAUCGAAGCCGAGCCUCGAACUGACAAUGAGGAGAGAUUCCAUCGGAGCUUGGACUGCCAUGUUGGCAGACGAUCUUCGAAUAUUGAUUACGCUCUGUCCGAGCAAUCCCGAUGCCAACCUGAAUUUCUGAUUCACCGGGAUACUUGUAUGCAGUCUGUACGCUCGAGAUUCCAUUGAAAGUGGUGGGGAGAAUUAGCGUUCUCUGAGUCGUUUCAUAAAAAACGACCCUUUCUUUCUUUCGCUUCGUGAAUGAUCCAAAUUAAUUUUAUACUAUGAUACAAACUGCAAGUCCUACUCUACAUAUUUUAAUUUUAUAUUUUUUCCAGAAAGGAGAAAGUAGUUACCGUAGUAUGAUUGGAAAACGGUGAUUCUAUGUAGAGAUAAAUCAAAGUUAAGAAACGAGUAUGCUUCGCCUUGGCGGGAAUUUUGAAUAUUGAUAUUGAUUGAUUGAUGAUCGAAUAUUUGAUAGAAGUUAUCUGACUGAUCGUGACUGUCCUGAAUUUUCAACUAAUAAAUGUUGAUAUUAAAAGUACUUCGAAACGUUAAAAUUGAUUGUAACUCAUUUAUGAAAGCUUGAAAAAAUGAUAGAAGAUGAUUCUGUUAAGUUUAACGAAAUUCGUGUAUUUGAUUUUAUGUAUGUAAUUAUAUAUUGCCACCAUUUUUAGGUGAAUUUUAUUAUCAAUUCAGCAAAUUAUUAUAUUUGUGUAAAUGUAUCAAAGAUAAAUGUUAAAAAGCAAAUAAUUCACAAGGGGUUUCAUGUUUUACAUCAGCAUUCAAAUGAUUGUCAUAAAAAGAACAAAUAAGGUCAAAUAAAAUUCCUUCGUGUAAUAUGCAUCAAUAAAUAUAUGAAAUUUUGAAAUAGAA